AGCAGCCGCGGUAAUUCCAGCUCCAAUAGCGUAUAUUAAAGUUGUUGCAGUUAAAAGCUCGUAGUUGAAUUUCGGGGUUAGUAGGUUGGUCAUGCCUCUGGUAUGUACUGGUCUCACUGAUUCCUCCUUCCUUAUGAACCGUAAUGCCAUUAAUUUGGUGUUGCGAGGAAUUUGGACUGUUACUUUGAAAAAUUAGAGUGUUUAAAGCAAGCUAACGCUUGAAUACAUUAGCAUGGAAUAAUGAAAUAGGACGUUCGAUCUUAUUUUGUUGGUUUCUAGGAUUGACGUAAUGAUUAAUAGGGAUAGUUGGGGGCAUUAGUAUUCAAUUGUCAGAGGUGAAAUUCUUGGAUUUAUUGAAGACUAACUACUGCGAAAGCAUUUGCCAAGGAUGUUUUCAUUAAUCAAGAACGAAGGUUAGGGGAUCGAAGACGAUCAGAUACCGUCGUAGUCUUAACCAUAAACUAUGCCGACUAGGGAUCGGAUGAUGUUAAUUUUUUAAUGACUCAUUCGGCGCCUUACG
rnacentral:rRNA from 1 species